GACGAACGCUGGCGGCGUGCUUAACACAUGCAAGUCGAACGGAAAGGCCCUGCUUUUGUUGGGUGCUCGAGUGGCGAACGGGAGAGUAACACGUGAGUAACCUGCCCUUGACUUUGGGAUAACUUCAGGAAACUGGGGCUAAUACCGGAUAGGAGCUCCUGCUGCAUUGGGGGGGUUGGAAAGUUUCGGCGGUUGGGGAUGUAGUCGCGGCGUAUCAGCCUGUUGGGGGGGUAGUGGCUUACCAAGGCUUUGACGGGUAGCCGGCCUGAGAGGGUGUCAGGCAACAUUGGGACUGCGAUAGGGCGCAGACUCCUACGGGAGGCAGCAGUGGGGAAUAUUGCAAAAUGGGCGGAAGCCUGAUGCAGCAACGCCGCGUGCGGGAUGAAGGCCUUCGGGUUGUAAACCGCUUUCGCCUGUGACGAAGCGUGAGUGACGGUAAUGGGUAAAGAAGCACCGGCUAACUACGUG
rnacentral:rRNA from 1 species